rnacentral:rRNA from 1 species
GGGUUGUGAGGUUAAGCGACUAAGCGUACACGGUGGAUGCCCUGGCAGUCAGAGGCGAUGAAGGACGUGCUAAUCUGCGAUAAGCGUCGGUAAGGUGAUAUGAACCGUUAUAACCGGCGAUUUCCGAAUGGGGAAACCCAGUGUGAUUCGUCACACUAUCAUUAACUGAAUCCAUAGGUUAAUGAGGCGAACCGGGGGAACUGAAACAUCUAAGUACCCCGAGGAAAAGAAAUCAACCGAGAUUCCCCCAGUAGCGGCGAGCGAACGGGGAGGAGCCCAGAGCCUGAAUCAGUGUGUGUGUUAGUGGAAGCGUCUGGAAAGGCGCGCGAUACAGGGUGACAGCCCCGUACACAAAAAUGCACAUACUGUGAGCUCGAUGAGUAGGGCGGGACACGUGGUAUCCUGUCUGAAUAUGGGGGGACCAUCCUCCAAGGCUAAAUACUCCUGACUGACCGAUAGUGAACCAGUACCGUGAGGGAAAGGCGAAAAGAACCCCGGCGAGGGGAGUGAAAAAGAACCUGAAACCGUGUACGUACAAGCAGUGGGAGCCUCUUUAUGGGGUGACUGCGUACCUUUUGUAUAAUGGGUCAGCGACUUAUAUUCUGUAGCAAGGUUAACCGAAUAGGGGAGCCGAAGGGAAACCGAGUCUUAACUGGGCGUUAAGUUGCAGGGUAUAGACCCGAAACCCGGUGAUCUAGCCAUGGGCAGGUUGAAGGUUGGGUAACACUAACUGGAGGACCGAACCGACUAAUGUUGAAAAAUUAGCGGAUGACUUGUGGCUGGGGGUGAAAGGCCAAUCAAACCGGGAGAUAGCUGGUUCUCCCCGAAAGCUAUUUAGGUAGCGCCUCGUGAAUUCAUCUCCGGGGGUAGAGCACUGUUUCGGCAAGGGGGUCAUCCCGACUUACCAACCCGAUGCAAACUGCGAAUACCGGAGAAUGUUAUCACGGGAGACACACGGCGGGUGCUAACGUCCGUCGUGAAGAGGGAAACAACCCAGACCGCCAGCUAAGGUCCCAAAGUCAUGGUUAAGUGGGAAACGAUGUGGGAAGGCCCAGACAGCCAGGAUGUUGGCUUAGAAGCAGCCAUCAUUUAAAGAAAGCGUAAUAGCUCACUGGUCGAGUCGGCCUGCGCGGAAGAUGUAACGGGGCUAAACCAUGCACCGAAGCUGCGGCAGCGACACUAUGUGUUGUUGGGUAGGGGAGCGUUCUGUAAGCCUGUGAAGGUGUACUGUGAGGUAUGCUGGAGGUAUCAGAAGUGCGAAUGCUGACAUAAGUAACGAUAAAGCGGGUGAAAAGCCCGCUCGCCGGAAGACCAAGGGUUCCUGUCCAACGUUAAUCGGGGCAGGGUGAGUCGACCCCUAAGGCGAGGCCGAAAGGCGUAGUCGAUGGGAAACAGGUUAAUAUUCCUGUACUUGGUGUUACUGCGAAGGGGGGACGGAGAAGGCUAUGUUGGCCGGGCGACGGUUGUCCCGGUUUAAGCGUGUAGGCUGGUUUUCCAGGCAAAUCCGGAAAAUCAAGGCUGAGGCGUGAUGACGAGGCACUACGGUGCUGAAGCAACAAAUGCCCUGCUUCCAGGAAAAGCCUCUAAGCAUCAGGUAACAUCAAAUCGUACCCCAAACCGACACAGGUGGUCAGGUAGAGAAUACCAAGGCGCUUGAGAGAACUCGGGUGAAGGAACUAGGCAAAAUGGUGCCGUAACUUCGGGAGAAGGCACGCUGAUAUGUAGGUGAAGCGACUUGCUCGUGGAGCUGAAAUCAGUCGAAGAUACCAGCUGGCUGCAACUGUUUAUUAAAAACACAGCACUGUGCAAACACGAAAGUGGACGUAUACGGUGUGACGCCUGCCCGGUGCCGGAAGGUUAAUUGAUGGGGUUAGCGGUAACGCGAAGCUCUUGAUCGAAGCCCCGGUAAACGGCGGCCGUAACUAUAACGGUCCUAAGGUAGCGAAAUUCCUUGUCGGGUAAGUUCCGACCUGCACGAAUGGCGUAAUGAUGGCCAGGCUGUCUCCACCCGAGACUCAGUGAAAUUGAACUCGCUGUGAAGAUGCAGUGUACCCGCGGCAAGACGGAAAGACCCCGUGAACCUUUACUAUAGCUUGACACUGAACAUUGAGCCUUGAUGUGUAGGAUAGGUGGGAGGCUUUGAAGUGUGGACGCCAGUCUGCAUGGAGCCGACCUUGAAAUACCACCCUUUAAUGUUUGAUGUUCUAACGUUGGCCCGUGAUCCGGGUUGCGGACAGUGUCUGGUGGGUAGUUUGACUGGGGCGGUCUCCUCCUAAAGAGUAACGGAGGAGCACGAAGGUUGGCUAAUCCUGGUCGGACAUCAGGAGGUUAGUGCAAUGGCAUAAGCCAGCUUGACUGCGAGCGUGACGGCGCGAGCAGGUGCGAAAGCAGGUCAUAGUGAUCCGGUGGUUCUGAAUGGAAGGGCCAUCGCUCAACGGAUAAAAGGUACUCCGGGGAUAACAGGCUGAUACCGCCCAAGAGUUCAUAUCGACGGCGGUGUUUGGCACCUCGAUGUCGGCUCAUCACAUCCUGGGGCUGAAGUAGGUCCCAAGGGUAUGGCUGUUCGCCAUUUAAAGUGGUACGCGAGCUGGGUUUAGAACGUCGUGAGACAGUUCGGUCCCUAUCUGCCGUGGGCGCUGGAGAACUGAGGGGGGCUGCUCCUAGUACGAGAGGACCGGAGUGGACGCAUCACUGGUGUUCGGGUUGUCAUGCCAAUGGCACUGCCCGGUAGCUAAAUGCGGAAGAGAUAAGUGCUGAAAGCAUCUAAGCACGAAACUUGCCCCGAGAUGAGUUCUCCCUGACUCCCUGAGAGUCCUGAAGGAACGUUGAAGACGACGACGUUGAUAGGCCGGGUGUGUAAGCGCAGCGAUGCGUUGAGCUAACCGGUACUAAUGAACCGUGAGGCUUAACCUUACAACGCCGAAG